UACGAGGGGUCCAAGCGUUGCUCGGAAUCAUUGGGCGUAAAGCGGGUGUAGGUGGCUUCGUAAGUCAGGAGUGAAAGCCUUAGGCUUAACCUAGGAAGUGCUUUUGAUACUGCAAAGCUUGAGUGUGGGAGAGGAUCGUGGAAUUCCAGGUGUAGUGGUGAAAUACGUAGAUAUCUGGAGGAACACCGGUGGCGAAGGCGGCAUCCUGGACCGGCAUUGACGCUGAGGAGCGAAAGCCAGGGGAGCAAACGGG
rnacentral:rRNA from 1 species